CCGAAGGCAGGAAUGCUCCGGCCGCAGCUGCCUUGGAGAAGCACAGCAGCCAACCCCCGCCUUCCCUUUUCUUUUUUUCUCCAAGAGCCACGUAUGAAGUUCCUGCAGAGGAAAAAAGCUGGCGACGGAGAAAAGCAAAAUGUCACGUGACACAGUCCUUGAAGCUGAUUGGCUGACGCGAGGCGUUUUUUUGUGUUGCGUGUGGACGUGUCCCAAGCAGAUAAGUAACGUGCCACAUUUCACGAGCUCCUCAGGCGACUCUUCUGUGAAGCACCUGAAGUAUGCGGACGACAGACACUACUCUCAACGGACUGAUCCGGGACGGUGACGAGACUGCGUACAGACAGGAGGUGGAGCGGCUGGUCCACUGGUGCAGCCAAAACCACCUGGAGCUGAACCCGCUCAAGACCCCUUCGCCACUUUCACCCCCACCAUCCUCAGUAAUGCUAUUCUCACCACAGACACAAGUUCCUGGGAUCCACAAUCUCACGGGACCUGAAAUUGACCGACCACGUAGACUCUGCCCGGAAGAAGGCCCAGCAGAGGUUGUACUUUCUGGGACAGCUCAGGAAGUUCAAGCUGCCACAGGAGGUGCUGAAAACCUUCUACACUGCCACUAUCCAGUCUAUCAUCUGCACCGCCAUCACCAUCUGGUUUGGAUCGGCCUGAGGGAUACAUUGUAGUUCCAUUAGGUAGAUAUAGCGUAAAUGGGGAAAAAAACGUGAAACAAUCCAAACAUUUAAAGUAGAAAUGGAUAGAGGGAUGGUUUGUUGACUUGGAAGUUGCAAAUUUGCCCACGGAAAUGUAGCCACCGAUCAUUCUGCACUGUGAUUUUGCAGUCAUCUUUUCACCACUGCCACUCACAAGGAAAAUAGCAACAGUGUUGAUCUUAAUUCCGACAAAAUCAGGAAAUAAAAUUACUUCCCAAAGACUGUCAAGACUUUCAAAGAUACUUUUGAAAUCCUUCCCAGCUUCAUAAAGGUUAACAUUUCUUAAUCGUAGUUCACACACACAAAGACGAACAACCAUCCACACUCGCCCUCACACCUAUGGGCAAUUUGGAGCACUCAAUCAGCCUACCGAGCAUGUUUUGUGGAGGAAAUGGGAGUGCCCGGAGAAAACCCACGCAGGCACGGGGAGAACAUGCAAACUCCACACAGGGAGGGCCGGAGUUGGAAUCAAACCCGCACCCUCUGAACUGUUAGGCGGACAUGCUAACCAAUGCCCAGUGUGCCACCUAACCCCAAGAUAGGGUGUUAUUUUUAUAGGGCAGGGCAGUUCACACCCAACCACAGAGACAUACUGUGACCUAAUUUCAGCCUGGGCAUAUUCAUUGAUUGGGAUGGGGUUGGCAGGCAACAUAAACCAAAAUGUUUUUGUUUUUUUACGUGGGUGGGGUUGGACUCGUCCUGAUGCAUACUGAUUUCGGCCCGUGAUGAACUGGCUGUUCGAGAAUCUCCCGAAAUUACAGAUGCCCAACAUGCUGCUGCCCCACAAUCUGGAAUCGUCACAGAACCUUCAGGGUUCACAUACUUUUUCUGUCCUCCACUGUAAAGUUGCGUUCAAUAAAAACAUGAAAACAUGUCAUUGUAUGUGUGAUAUUAGUCUAAGCAGGUACUUUUUGUCCAUUGAUGUGACCGCAAAUAAUGAGCAAUUUCUGUAGUUCAUCUACUUUUCUUGUGACCGUAUAUAUUGUGAAUAGCUAUCACUGUCAAAUGGAAUUGAUUUCCAAUGCUGAUUAGUCUACACAAAUGUCACCUUGAUGAACUGUAUCAUGAGUAAUUUUGUAGAGAGAAUUAUUAUAAUAAUUGCUGUACUGAUAUAUUGGAUUGUUAGCAAGAUAUUGAGAUAUUGCCAUCAUGUAAAUAUGAAAAUAUGAAGUUAUUACAUCCUAGACAAAAUAAAUUGACGAAGCAUCUUGUUGAUAGGAUGAAAACUUUAACAAUAUUUAAUGUACAUAUUCAAACGGAUAUUCAAAUGAUUAAAGCUUUUUAAAGAGCUGAUCGUUUUAUGCUCAACAAAUAUUUGCUUCUUGGUUCUGCUACUAGUUAGAAUAGUAACAGAUUCUUAAUUCUGUUUUGGCCCUAAAGUAAAAGAGGUUGGGUGACCAUUAUUGUCUCAAUUAUAUGAAACAAUUUCCACCCUAAAAACUGGGAAGUUUCAUGAUUUGUAAGUUGUACUACUACAGUUUUUAUCUUUUUUUUUUUUUAC